UACAGAGGGGGCAAGCGUUGUUCGGAAUUACUGGGCGUAAAGGGCGCGUAGGCGGUUUUCUAAGUUUGGUGUGAAAUCUCCCGGCUUAACUGGGAGGGUGCGCCGAAGACUGGAAGGCUUGAGUAUGGGAGAGGUAAGCGGAAUUCCUGGUGUAGCGGUGAAAUGCGUAGAUAUCAGGAGGAACACCUGCGGUGUAGACGGCUUACUGGACCAUCACUGACGCUGAGGCACGAAAGCGUGGGUAGCAAACAGG
rnacentral:rRNA from 1 species